UGUGGGAGCGAGCCUGCUCGCGAUAGCGGUGAGUUAGCUUGCAACGAUUCUGAAUGUAUCGCCGUCAUCGCGAGCAGGCUCGCUCCCACA
rnacentral:misc_RNA from 1 species